GACGAACGCUGGCGGCGUGCUUAACACAUGCAAGUCGAACGGAAAGGCCUCUUUCGGGGGGUACUCGAGUGGCGAACGGGUGAGUAACACGUGAGUAACCUGCCCUUGACUUUGGGAUAACUUCAGGAAACUGGGGCUAAUACCGGAUAGGAGCUCCUGCUGCAUGGUGGGGGUUGGAAAGUUUCGGCGGUUGGGGAUGGACUCGCGGCUUAUCAGCUUGUUGGUGGGGUAGUGGCUUACCAAGGCUUUGACGGGUAGCCGGCCUGAGAGGGUGACCGGCCACAUUGGGACUGAGAUACGGCCCAGACUCCGACGGGAGGCAGCAGGGGGGAAUAUUGCACAAUGGGUGGAAGCCUGAUGCAGCAACGCCGUGUGCGGGAUGACGGCCUUCGGGUUGUAAACCGAUUUCGCUCAUGACGAAGCUUUGUGUGACGGUAGUGGGUAAAGAAGCACCGGCUAACUACGUG
rnacentral:rRNA from 1 species